CCUACGGGAGGCAGCAGUAGGGAAUCUUGCUCACUGGGGGAAACCCUGAAGCAGCAACGCCACGUGGAGGAUGAAGGUUUUCGGAUUGUAAACUCCUUUUGUUAGAGAAGAUAAUGACGGUAUCUAACGAAUAAGCACCGGCUAACUCCGUGCCAGCAGCCGCGGUAAUGCGGAGGGUGCAAGCUGUACUCGGAAUCACUGGCGGAAAGAGCGCGUAGGCGGGAUAGCAAGUCAGAUGUGAAAUCCUAUGGCGUAACCAUAGAACUGCAUUUGAAACUGGUAUUCUAGAGUAUGGGAGCGGUAGGUGGAAUUCUUGGUGUAGGGGUAAAAUCCGUAGAGAUCAAGAGGAAUACUCAUUGCGAAGGCGACCUGCUAGAACAUAACUGACGCUGAUGCGCGAAAGCGUGGGGAGCAAACAGGAUUAGAUACCCCAGUAGUC
rnacentral:rRNA from 1 species